CCCCCCAUCUGCUGCUCAGAAAAGCCCUUCCCGGCUUCGGCUGACGUCUCCUUUCCCUUUCUCCUGCCUCCUCUUCCCUCUGCUCUCCUCCGGCUUGGCCCCGGCUCGGAGGGGAGCGGAUCAGAGCGGGCGUGGGGAGGCUCAGAGGAAGAUCAAUCUCUCAGCUCGGAGAAAUGAAUACGAUGCGAAGCCUGAAGAGUAAUAACACAGCGAAAUGACAACGGAGGAGCGAGACAGGAAUCUGGGAGAUACAAUGGCAGGACCUGUACAAAACACAUGGAUUUUCUCCCCUGUUAUCCUGUUCUGGGUGGGUUCCUCUGUGGUGAAAACAGACUGUGCCAGAAGAAACCCUCUGCAGACCUUGACCCCUGUGCAGUGCUACAAACUGAUGCUGCAGCACCUCAAGGGUGACGUGAAACUUGACAUAUUCUGCACGUCCCAGGACCACAGACCUUGCUGUAGUAGAGGAAGAGAGGGUGGGCAAGAGGAGAGGUAAUUACAGUUUUUUCCUUAUGGCUUGAGGAUGCUGCAGUAAUUUAAGGUGAUAAAUUAACCUCCAUUAUUCUCAAGGAGCUUGAGAACCCAUGAAAAGCUCAUCAGAGGAUCACACUAACGAUGCAACAGGGGAGGAAAUGUCCCAGGCAGCARAGACAGGGUGUGGUGACCAAAUCCAUCCCGCUCCCCAUCCCUCCUGUGAUGUCCCUGUGGCAGCAGGGAGAGUGUUCUCCAAAUUCCUGCUGUGUCUGGGAAGGGAGAGCAUUUGGAUUUGGGGAUUUGGGGCACCCUAGCACCCAGCUGAGACAUCACCCCUCUGCAGAUACCCCUCAGCUGACUCUCAGGGGCUGUCACACCCUGGAUAAUUGUUUGAACAUUCCCUAAAACGCUGAA